AGGAGACCUCAACAGUCCUCAGGUUUCUGCCUUCUGCCUAACUGGCUGUGAGUAAGCGUAGCAAGAGAAAAGAAAUCACAGGCCAGAGUAUACUGCCCUCGUGCAAUGGAAAGAGAGCAAGAGCGAUGAGUCUGCAAGCAUUGAUGCGAGGCAGCAGGCGUCCAUCUGGGAGCGGAACCGCCACCACUCUCAAUGAGAUAAGUGUCUUCUUUGGUGAUCGCUCUGCUCAAGGCCCAUCUUGCUCCCGGUAGGGACACCCCGUUAGCUGGGGCUGGGUUUGUAAGAAAAGGUUCCUGACUAGUUGUGGUUACAAGGGAGACGAUGUCCCCAUUUUCAGGGGCUGCUCAUGUCUCUGGCUAGGACCAGUGUGUCCUCGGCAGCAUAUUAGAUCCAGGGGGAUGACUCCAGCUGUUUGCAGAGGAAUCGUCCAGGAGCCCCAGCCGGAUGAGCAUGUCAGAAGUGGACCUCAGCAGCCUGGACAUCCUUCUAAGGAAACAAGAAUAGUCCUCAGGUUUCUGCCUUCUGCAUAACUGGCUUACCAAGGAAAAAGACGUCACAUGUCAAAGUCUACUGCCCUUAUGAGUGAGAGUGACGAGACUGCGAGUGGUGUUGGUGCCAGGCAGGAGCUGUCCCUCUGGGAGCAGAACAGCUGCUACUAUCACUGAGAUAAGUAUCUGUUUUGCUGAGGGUUCUGCUCACGGCCCACCUGGCUACAGGUAGAGACACCCCGUUAGGUGGAGUGGGUUUGUAAGAAAAGGUUCCUGACUAGCUGUGGUUUUGAGGGAGACACGGUCCCCAUUUCCAGGGGCUGAUUUCUCUGUCCAGGAUCGGUGUGUCCUCGGCAGGAGAAGGUUAGAUCCAUGAGGGAUGACUCCAGGUGAGGAAUUGUCCAGGAGCAGCAGCUGAAGGAGAAAGUGGCAGACGCGGACCUGAGGAGCCUGCACAUCCUUCUAAGCAGACAUGAAAGGUCCUCAGAUUUCUGCGUCCCGCACAACUGGCUGUGAGUAAGCGGUCAGUGCUUGGAAUCCCUCAUCUGUACUGGCUCCGGUUUUGUUCAGAGGCUCUGAAUUUCUUCAUUGGACACAGUGCUCUGUGGGAUUCAGACGAAGCAAAGGCACAAGUCUCCUGUGCAGAUGCUGGGUUUAGUACCAAGUGGAGAGUCAGAAUCCACUCCGCACAUGCCAUGGAAAGGAAGCGAGAGCUGGGAGAUUCUAAGCACUGUUGAUGCCAGGGAAGAGCCAUCCAGCUGGGAGUGGAGCAAGGACCACUGUCAGUGAGAUAAGUGUCUUGUUAGGUGAAGGCUUUGCUGUGGUUACGAGGGAGACAAGGUCCCUAUUUUCAGGGGCUGCUCAGUCCUCUGGCCAGUA